CCUACGGGAGGCAGCAGUAGGGAAUCUUGCUCAAUGGACGAAAGUCUGAUGGAGCAAAGCAGCGUGGGUGAAGAAGGUCCUCGGAUCGUUAAACUCUGUUGUUAGAGAAGAAAGUGCGUGAGAGUAACUGUUCACGUUUCGACGGUAUGUAUACAGAACGGCUCGGCUAACUACGUGCAAGAUGCCGCGGUAAUACGUAGGUGGCAAGCGUUAUCCGGAUUUAGUGGGCGUAAAGGGAACGCAGGCGGUCUUUUAAGUCUGAUGUGACAGCCCUCGGCUUAACCGGAGUAGUGCAUUGGAAACUGGGAGACUUGAGUGCAGAAGAGGUGAGUGGAACUCCAGGUGUAGCGGUGAAAUGCGUAGAUAUAUGGAAGAACACCAGUGGCGAAAGCGGCUCUCUGGUCUGUAACUGACGCUGAGGUUCGAAAGCGUGGGUAGCAAACAGGAUUAGAUACCCCUGUAGUC
rnacentral:rRNA from 1 species